UACGAAGGGGGCUAGCGUUGCUCGGAAUUACUGGGCGUAAAGGGCGCGUAGGCGGCACUGUUAGUCAGGCGUGAAAUUCCUGGGCUCAACCUGGGGGACUGCGCUUGAUACGGCAGAGCUAGAGGAUGGAAGAGGCUCGCGGAAUUCCCAGUGUAGAGGUGAAAUUCGUAGAUAUUCGGAAGAACACCAGUGGCGAAGGCGGCUCACUGGCCCGGUACUGACGCUGAGGUGCGAAAGCGUGGGGAGCAACAGG
rnacentral:rRNA from 1 species